GAUGAACGCUGGCGGCGUGCCUAAUACAUGCAAGUCGAGCGAACGGACGAGAAGCUUGCUUCUCUGAUGUUAGCGGCGGACGGGUGAGUAACACGUGGAUAACCUACCUAUAAGACUGGGAUAACUUCGGGAAACCGGAGCUAAUACCGGAUAAUAUUUUGAACCGCAUGGUUCAAAAGUGAAAGACGGUCUUGCUGUCACUUAUAGAUGGAUCCGCGCUGCAUUAGCUAGUUGGUAAGGUAACGGCUUACCAAGGCAACGAUGCAUAGCCGACCUGAGAGGGUGAUCGGCCACACUGGAACUGAGACACGGUCCAGACUCCUACGGGAGGCAGCAGUAGGGAAUCUUCCGCUAUGGGCGAAAGCCUGACGGAGCAACGCCGCGUGAGUGAUGAAGGUCUUCGGAUCGUAGAACUCUGUUAUUAGGGAAGAACAUAUGUGUAAGUAACUGUGCACAUCUUGACGGUACCUAAUCAGAAAGCCACGGCUGACUACGUG
rnacentral:rRNA from 1 species